GCCGGGAUGGUGGAAUCGGUAGACACGCCGGACUUAAAAUCCUGUGGGCCACAAGCCCGUGCGGGUUCGACUCCCGCUCCUGGUACCU
rnacentral:tRNA from 2 species